ACAUCAACAUCAUUAACAACACACAGAAGAGUCAAACACCUUGGAUCCUUCUUCUUGGGCGGAUGGUUUCUCUUUUUAGGUUGAAUAAUAACCUCUUAUUCCUCGUCCACAAGAUCUACCACAUCUCCAAGAUAAAAUUUUAAUCUUUCGGAGUGAACAGGAAUCUGUUGAAUUACUGAAGGCACCAAAGUCACUUUCUCUCUAAACUACUCAUUGUGACCAUUAUUUCUCUCUUCUUCUUCUUCUUCUUCUUCUUCUUCACCCUCACUACUUUCCAGCUCAAUAAUCUCAUUUUCUUCUUCCUCUUCACUACUUUCGAUUUCAACAACUUCCUUUUCUGCUUUACUUUUGCUCCUUGUUACAACAGUUUUGCACUCCUAUUUAGGGUUAACAUCAGUAUUAGCCCUAAAUUGAUUUUUUUU
rnacentral:lncRNA from 1 species